GAAAAAUGGAGACUCAAAGCCUCCAAAGAUUAUUUCUAGAAGACAAGAAAUUGUCAGUUCAAGGCUAGACAAAAAGGGGCUAGCUUAAAAAUUCAAAUUAACCAAAAAUAAGUGUACUUUAAAACAUUUUUAGCCCUGUGACAGGUUCUGUUUCCUGUUUCCAACAGCACUUGUCAAAUGUAUUAGUGAAAUCAAACUAAUAUACUGUGAUGUAUUUAAGGCCUUUAACUAUCAGCUGUACUUUGUGUAAAUGCAUGUGUCUUCUAAUUGUCUGGUUCAAAAAAAGGCUAUAAGAUAUAAGACAUUUCUCUUUUGGUUUUCUUUUUAAUAUGACUUUAGUCUGAAUCCCAGAGCUCAUGUCUUACAUGAAAUGUACUUUUGUGGUUAACUUGUGUCUGAAGGGAUGAGAUGGAAUUGAUUAAAACCCUUCAUUUCUCAUGUAAGUGGCACUUUCAUAAAAAUGUAGAUUUAAUGGGCACUGUGAUUUAUGAUUCAAAGACAACUUAUUUGUGUUUAUGCCCAUUUUAUUGCACCACUCUCUUCCUGUUUAGAUAGAUGUAUAGAUUUAGGCUAUAGAUGAGGCUGUCUGUUAGUCACUCUGGCCAAUGUGUUUCUCAAAUAAAAUAAAUCCUUAAA